CAGGCGGAACCGAAAAGCCGGAAAUAGAGUAGGAA
ncrna:unclassified sequences DTF805b RNA